AGCAAGUCCGUUCUGACCGGGAU
rnacentral:miRNA from 1 species